CAAGUACUCCCUCCGUCCGGAAUUACUUGUCAUCAAAAUGGAUGUGUCUAGAACUAAAAUACAUUUAGAUACAUCCAUUUCAAUGACAAGUAUUUUCAGACGGAGGGAGUACAAG
rnacentral:pre_miRNA from 1 species